CAUCUGACCUCUAAGUGACCAAGGCAGGUUUAUGGCAAGCACGUGUUCGGCUGUUAUGGCUGCCGAAAGGGGAGCAGGUCCCUUCAUUCUGGUGUACAUGCAGAACUCAAGCAUGGAUCAAGUGACAUUUCUGCUGCCCAGUUGUCUGGAAAAACAUAAAAAAGCCAGUGAGAAACUGUGUAUAAUGAAUUGCUCAAGUUGGAAACAAGGCUUAGAAUUUUCAUCGAUUCCACCCCAAAUUAUUGUGUAUUGUGGAUCUCAAAGUCAGUCUGCUGGAUUUUGGGGAUACUUCCAGUAUGCAAGAAGAUGAGAAAUCCACAGAACUAGAAGACAGAUGAUGCCUUCAAUUAUUUGGAAGAAACAGAAGUGAACCCAGAGAAGAACGGAUGUUAUAGAAUAAGUAUCUGAUUAUAGGCAUAAUAAAGCAAUGUUUUGAGGGUUUGCUUUACAGUGAUGACUUUGUCUUAAGGAAGUGUUUAUAUGAGCAUGAAGGAACAAUUAGCUCUACUUCUUUAUUAAAGAUAUAGCAAGAAAGGAUCUAGAAUGGCUAACUGGUCACGCAUAUAACCUUAUCACCCUUAAACUAAAGAAAAUCUAGUUUUCAGGGCUUGCUAUGUGAUUUGUAGCAUCUGCAAAAGCCAUGCAAGGUAUCUAUGAAACCCUAUAGUUCUCAUUCAUUUAUUUUGCAUUUUACUAUAUAUUCAAAAAAACACCAUUACCAGUUUUUCAAAAUAGCAUUUUUCUCAGUUCUGGAAUUGGUUUUUCUCUUUUUUAUGACAGUUUGCUACUUUACAAGAAACUUGUAAGUAUUCUAUAGUCUUUGAGAUGCCUAAACGCCUUUCAUUCUUUGGAAACAAACAUUGGAUAAAUGAGGUGAUUGAAACCCUGUAUAGCACCGCAAAUACUUGGAUUAGAGUAUAAUGUAUCUAUUUUAUUUAAAAGUGUUAUGAUAGAAAGCUGCCAUUAUAGAUUUUAGCAUACUUUUGCUCUGGUGGCAUCUUAGGCUAUCAGUCUUGAGUGUGUUUUUCCAAAAGGGAAGAUUUGUCCUGUCAAUCAGGCUAGAGGCAGGCAGUGACAAGGGCUUGGCCUGUAUUGAGGUGCAGGUCUUUUGGAAACCUCCAUUUUUAUUUUCUUUAUUAUCUUUUUGUUCUUUUUGUAUGUGAAGUGUAAAAUUUCUUAUUUCCAAAUGGAGUAGGCUCUUCCUCCUUUUCUACUGGCCUUUUGGAAGAAAAAGCAACUCCUUCUCAGUUGUGGGCUGUGAAAAGAUGAAACUGUCAGAGAGCCGAUAAAGCACAUAAUGGCUAGCAAUGUUCUGUCUUCUGGGGUUAGAGACAAAAUAGUUGAUUCAGCUAGGUCACUUGGUGUGCUAUUCAUUGCCCUGUGACUCAGUAGGGGUCCCUUGACAUUUUCUGGGACCCCCUCACUCAUAGUAGUUGCUCAUUGUCGUGGGGACAACUGAUGGCUUCCAAAUUCCCAUCUCAGAUUUUUUUUUUUUAUGAGUAGAAAGUAGAAAGUAAAAGUGAAAAAUACCAUAUUAAAAACAACAUUUAGAGAUCAAUGAGGGACAUUCCAUGGGAAAUGAAUUUUGAUUGAUUGCAAAAUCAGCUUGAUUCACUCAGCUCGUCUUUGGCUUAAAAAUAAGUUUUCCUUGUUUUUUGCACUGUGUUUGAAAUAUUUACUCUUGCUGGAAGUUGCCAUGGAAUGAAUAUAGAUACUGGACAAGAAGAAAAUGUAACAUGUAUAGAGUUGAGUUGGAUACACAAAGGAAGUUAUGGUAAAUUGUAUGUUUGUACACAGCUGUACAAACAUUCUAGGUAUAAGUUCUUCAGAGGACAUUUUCUUUUAUAGUAUGGAUAUAUUUUUUUUCUAUGUAGAUAUGGGAACAGUUUUCUAGGCAAUGUUGAUUAAAUAAAAGUAACAUUGUUUUACUUAGUAGUAAAGAUAAGGUGUUUGAAGAAAAACAGUGGAACAAAAUAAGAAAGAGAAAAUAUUUAUUGAAAUGGGUGGACUAGAAUUUUUGGCUUUUGGAGUCCCCUCUGCUUUUCAGAGAGGAUCCUUUUCCCUUUGUGUCUGCUGUGUGCAUGUGUUUCUCACCCCCCAAUAAACUCUUUUCUUUAACUGUUGAUUCUAUCUGUAUUAUUUGAGAUUUUCUCUGCUUCUACCUGUUGCACUUUAGAUUUUUCUCUUCCUAGAAAACUCACCCUUUCAAGACCCCUAGAAAGUAUCCAUUUUAAGGCCCAUAGAUUGUAUCAAUAAGGUGGCUAAUUGGCCCACAGUUGUCUAACAUGUCCUGAUCUGGCCUGGAAUUUGAGCCAGUCCAUCAGUAUUGGCCCUGCUGACAGAGAAAACAAAAGCUUACAAGACCUGUGUUUCAGGUUGCCAGUUUUUGUCUCCGGUCAGGAAGUUAAGAAGCCAGCCAUCUUGGAAGUUCACCACCCUUCUUACCUAGUCGUGGUCUCUCUCCCUAUCUGUCUACCUUUCAGAGAAUCUAACACCUAGUCCCUCAGUGCUGUUUUAAAGAGGAAGCCUUGAUAAGGUAGGAGGUUAAGUCAGGUGUCACUCCUCAGAAAUCUUCCAUUUUGUUUUCUAAGACAUGAUCUCCUGGUUACCAGUUUCUCUCAGGCUCUCUUUUCUUUUCACUUGCUUUCUCCACCCUUUCUGUAUUUGAUCAAAACACAGGUGCAGUACAGCACAAUGCCAUGACAAGAUAAUCUAGAGGCUCUAACUCAGGGGUGCCCUCAUUCGGUCUGCUAGUUCACUGGAGCUUUCUUCUGUAAGACCCACUGGUUAAAAGCACUGAAGACUUCCUACUGGUCCUCUUUUUUUUUUUUUUUUCUUUUUUUUUUCUUUUUUUCUUUUUUUUCUGAGACAGGGUUUCUCUGUAUUGCUUUGGAGUCUGGUCCUGGUACUCAAUUUGUAGACCAGGCUGGCCUUGAACUCACAGAGAUCCGGCUGCCUCUACCUCCCAAGUCCUGGAUUAACAGUGUGCAUCACCAAUGCCCGUCUUUGAUAAUAUGGAGUUGUAACAGUUACGGUUACCUGUUUGUGUUCCAGGCCCAUUUGGUCAUUUAGAGACUUAGAACAUGCUCUGAGGAACUAGAUACUGACCUCUGUUUUGCCUUUGUCCCUCAUCCACCCCAAAUUUUCUGUAGAUACUCACUUGGUUGAAGAUUCCAAUAGCCAAGAUUGGCUAAGAAUUCCUGGAAUUCUCCACUGGCCCAUAGCUCAAAACUGGCCCAAAUUCAAAAUUUUUAUUUUUUUAAAGAUCUAAACUGAUUUAAAUAACUCAAUAAGAUGGUCCAUUCCUUCCCUACCCCUUUCCCCCCAAAAUCUCCAACCUUCCCAAGCUCACUUAAAUCUUUCUCAAGGCUGUGGCUUACAGCUAUACCGAGAGCCAGAAUGCCUACUUCUGUUUCUGUAGGGCCUCCGAAUUUGUAUCUACUCCUGAGAUAGCUCAGAACUCUUUUGCCUUAUGCUUUUGGCCUAUGGUUUUUCCUCUCCAAGCCUGAAAAAUCCUGCCUAUAUCAUUAACAGCUAAGAGGUAAAAGUGUUUCAAUUUGUCUGCUCCCAUCUUCAGAUGUAUGCAAACUCGGUUUGGGUAUGGAGAUGUAUGGGUUCAGUCUUCCAGAGUCCAUUGUCUUUGGGUAUGAAUAACACUGAAAAGUUGUCUCAUGCUGUUACUCUACUAAGAAGGCUGGCUCUCCAGUUGAACUUUGGCCCAUCUGCUCCAGACCCAAGCAUGCUUGUUUAAACCUUUAUGCCAAAGUCUCUGUCCUGAGUCAGGGUGACUGCCUGACUCUGUGACAAGGAGAAGGAGAGCCAAAGAGAACAUCCCCUUGAUAACAAAUAAAUAAACUAUUCCUCAUAGAGGUUACAAAUGGCAAGAUGCUUAACUCCAUGAAUUCUCCUCCCUUUGUUUUUGUUUACUGUUGUUAAAGCUUUUGUUGAAACUGGAGCCUUCAGCAUUUUAGGAUUUGUAAGUUCAGUGAGUGUGAUUUAAAAAUGGUCUGUACACCUUAAUCUUACUUUGCUAUAAUAAGCCAUAUGUAUAACUAGGAUUCAACUCUUGCUUAGGAAAAGGAGCGUGCUCAGUGGAUUCACCACAAUGUGUCUUGCCACCUUCUUGGUUUGUGACCUGGUUGGGAUGGAAGCAUGCCCGUGAUAUUACUGCAGCUUUGGUAGAGAGAUAAACUUGGAGGUAUCUUCCAUCUUGAAGUUAUCCCCCAUCUUAUAGAAUUCUACUUAUGUUGUCAAAGUCUGAAACAAGUAAGUCAAGACAAGUUUAAAGUAAACUUCGUUUAAUGUAAAAUAAUAUUCAAAAUUGGGUAUAUAAAAAUGGUUACAAAACAUUGAAUUCUUUAGUAAAAUGGGCUAAAUUUUACUAAAAUUAUUAAAUUUACUACUGGGGCAGGAAACCCUCAGCCUUAAUUAAUUCCCUUGGAUGAAGGCAUCAUCCCACCAGAAUAAGUUACGUGCUAGCCUCAAUACAGGACAAGGGUGCAUGGAUAAGAACACUUAAAGAAGUCUGCUGCUACUGCCUCAGGUUACACAGACCUGGUCAACUCUGACCAUGUAUGUCAAACCAGGAAAAACAAACAAACAAACUCCUCUUUGUCUAAGAAAAGAUGAAUUACUCCUCAUGUCUCACAUGAGAGGGAGAAGGAUUCUCUUGCCCAAAGAAGGAGAUCAGAGUCUGAACCCACAUUCUAAACAUAUCAACAGUGAGACAAAUAGCAAUUAUUCUGCCCUCAAUGUCUCCCAAACUCCACAGUAUGAGGAUACUGUGACCAUGGGAACCUUGUACAUAAGCCUCCCACCCAACUGGUUUGGGACCUGCAUGCUAAUUCAACUGGCCAUGUCCUUUACCCUCAUUCAGUUAUUCCUCUUAGCAGAAGCUAAUUUCAGGCUUUAUACCCUAACCACUCACGUUUCAUCACUAAAGGAGAAUAUCAGAUACUCUGUCAUCAAACACAGCUUUGGGAAGUUUUGAGAAUAUUCAAGCAGUGUCUUUGACAGCUGGUUUUCUAUUUGUAGACUUAACAAAUGAUUCUGUUAAAUGAUAUCCUAAGCCUUUAAACUCUUUCAGGAGGAAAUGACUUAGCUGAAAGAGAUUCUCUCCAACCUGGGAUCACCUGUAGUCCUUUGAGAGUAUAAUCUAGUCUCUACCGAGCUAGAGUCUCCAGGACAGAUACCUGCACUCACUUUGAAGCCCACAAGCAAUAUGCAGGGUUUGGUAGUAAAGCUUGUGGAUGUUUUCUAAGAAAUCCUCAAAGCCACAAUUGUUAAAACUCAUUUAAUUUGUUAAUCUUGCUUUAUAAAAUAUGUCUCUAAACAACCAGACUGUUUUUAAAUACUGUGAUGUUAAGAAACAUGCUUACUGCUAUGCGUAUGUGGUGACCCAGAUAUUUAUUCAUCAAUAAAAGAAGUAGAGUUGGCUUUAGCCUGUUAAUUUAGUCCAUGCUACAUGUAAAUUAUUUGUUUCAGAUUUGACAUGACUGGC
rnacentral:lncRNA from 1 species